ACUACGCCGCAGGCUAAACUCAAAGGAAUUGACGGGGGCCCGCACAGCGUGGAGCAUGUGGCUAAUUCGAGCACGCGAAGAACCUUACCUGGAUUUGACAUGGACUGGCUACCAGUAGAAAUACUGGUUCCGCAAGGACCGGUUCACAGUGCUGCAUGGCUGUCGUCAGCUCGUGCCGUGAGUGUUCGGUUAAGUCCGGCAACGAGCGCACCCACGUUAGUAGUUGCCAGCAGGUAAAGCUGGGCACUCUACUGAUACUGCCCGUGUUAAGCGGGAGGAAGGAGUGGAUGAUGUCAAGUCCGUAUGGCCUUUAUAUCCAGGGCUGCACACGUGCUACAAUGGCUGCUACAGAGGGAUGCGAUAUCGCGAGAUGGAGCAGAUCCGUAAAAACAGCCCUAGUUCGGAUUGCAGGCUGCAACUCGCCUGCAUGAAGCCGGAAUCGCUAGUAAAGGCGUAUCAGCCACGACGCCUUGAAUACGUUCCCGGGCCUUGUACACACCGCCCGUCACAUCAUGGGAGUUGAUUGCACCCGAAGCUGCUGACCGAACCUGCAAAGGACGGAGGCAUCUAAGGUGUGGUUAAUGACUGGGAUG
rnacentral:rRNA from 1 species